UACAGAGGGGGCAAGCGUUGUUCGGAAUUACUGGGCGUAAAGGGCGCGUAGGCGGCCUGCUAAGUCGAACGUGAAAUCCCCGAGCUCAACUCGGGAACUGCGUCCGAUACUGGCAGGCUUGAAUCCGGGAGAGGGAUGCGGAAUUCCAGGUGUAGCGGUGAAAUGCGUAGAUAUCAGGAGGAACACCCGUAGCGAAGGCGGCACUCUGGGCCGAUACUGACACUGAGGAGCGAAAGCGUGGGGAGCGAACAGG
rnacentral:rRNA from 1 species